rnacentral:rRNA from 1 species
AUACGAAGGGUGCUAGCGUUGUUCGGAAUUACUGGGCGUAAAGGGUGCGUAGGCGGCCUGAUAAGUGAGAUGUGAAAUACCUGGGCUUAACCUGGGAACUGCAUUUCAUACUGUUAGGCUAGAGAGAUUUAGGGGAAGAUGGAAUUGUGCGUGUAGAGGUGAAAUUCGUAGAUAUGCACAAGAACACCAGUGGCGAAGGCGAUCUUCUGGGAAUCAACUGACGCUAAUGCGCGAAAGCGUGGGGAGC